GUGUUUUUUUAUUAACGUUCUGUUUGUAUGGGUUACUUUAACUUUUAAAAUGCCAUUGUUCAUCUUUCAGGUCAGGAUUCGUGAGCCUAAAGGAUCUGAAAUCAGAAAGCACAAUCUGAGGAAGGUGCUUCUGCGAAAUUUAUAACUUGAAUUGUGUGCACCAAAUAUAUGAAUUGUUGGGCUUAGUUCAUCAUCGGGAAGUUUAUCAUUUUGCUGGUUUGCCCUUGUUUUUAGAAACUUUGAAUUUACAAGGACUUGUAGCACAUCUUUGAAUAAACCUUCAACUUACUAGUACUUGUAUUAUAGUGAAUAGCAUGCCGA